AUACGGAGGGUGCAAGCGUUAUCCGGAAUUACUGGGUUUAAAGGGUGCGUAGGCGGUUUAAUAAGUCAGAAGUGAAAAGUCCGAGCUCAACCGGGGCCUUGCUUUUGAUACUGUUAGACUUGAAUUAGGCUGAGGUUAGCGGAAUGUGACAUGUAGCGGUGAAAUGCAUAGAUAUGUCAUAGAACACCAAUUGCGAAGGCAGCUAACUAGACCUUAAUUGACGCUGAGGCACGAAAGCGUGGGGAGCGAACAGGAUUAGAAACCCUAGUAGUCC
rnacentral:rRNA from 1 species